GAUGAACGCUGGCGGCGUGCCUAAUACAUGCAAGUCGAGCGAACAGACGAGGAGCUUGCUCCUCUGACGUUAGCGGCGGACGGGUGAGUAACACGUGGAUAACCUACCUAUAAGACUGGGAUAACUUCGUGAAACCGGAGCUAAUACCGGAUAAUAUAUUGAACCGCAUGGUUCAAUAGUGAAAGACGGUUUUGCUGUCACUUAUAGAUGGAUCCGCGCCGCAUUAGCUAGUUGGUAAGGUAACGGCUUACCAAGGCAACGAUGCGUAGCCGACCUGAGAGGGUGAUCGGCCACACUGGAACUGAGACACGGUCCAGACUCCUACGGGAGGCAGCAGUAGGGAAUCUUCCGCAAUGGGCGAAAGCUUGACGGAGCAACGCCGCGUGAGUGAUGAAGGUCUUCGGAUCGUAAAGCUCUGUUAUUAGGGAAGAACAAAUGUGUAAGUAACUAUGCACGUCUUGACGGUACCUAAUCAGAAAGCCACGGCUAACUACGUG
rnacentral:rRNA from 1 species